UGAUCCCAGCUUUGCUCCGUGCUUCACAUCAGAACCCAAAUCCACUAUCACUUUGACUGCCCCUCCUUGAUUACUUCCAUGGCCCUUACUACUGGAUCAUCUUCCCCCAGGACCCAGGAACACCAGCUUAUAAAUGAUGAGGCAAAAUAAAUUCCUGAUCCUGACAACUGCUGAGCUCCCUAGACUCCACUACAGAUGCUCUGCACUUACAAGAUCUGGCCUUGAGGAAUUGAGGCUUACGUUUGAUUCCUCUCUGCACAGGAACUGCCCAGAGUGACAAUCAUCAAGAACUGAGCAUAUUCACCAUUAAUGAAUUGAGUGAAAAUCAAGUCACAUCAGAGAUUAAAGAUAAUGUCUAUAAAAUGGAAGAAAAAAAACACCCUGAAAACCAACAACAAAUGAAAACACACCCAAGUACUCUGCUCUAGUCAUACAGAUCAGUGGUUCUCAAAUUUUUUUUUCGCUGACCACUUGAAAAUUGCUGAGGG